rnacentral:rRNA from 1 species
UACGUAGGGUGCGAGCGUUAAUCGGAAUUACUGGGCGUAAAGUGUGCGCAGGCGGCAGAGCAAGUCGAGUGUGAAAGCCCCGGGCUUAACUUGGGAAUUGCGCUCGAAACUACUUUGCUGGAGUGUGGCAGAGGAAGGUGGAAUUCCACGUGUAGCGGUGAAAUGCGUAGAGAUGUGGAAGAACACCAAUGGCGAAGGCAGCCUUCUGGGCCAACACUGACGCUCAUGCACGAAAGCGUGGGGAGCAAACAGG